ACGUAGGGACCAAGCGUUGUUCGGAUUUACUGGGCGUAAAGGGCGCGUAGGCGGCAAUUCAAGUCAGCUGUGAAAUCUCUGGGCUUAACCCAGAACGGCCAGCUGAUACUGCUUUGCUAGAGUGCAGAAGGGGCAAUCGGAAUUCUUGGUGUAGCGGUGAAAUGCGUAGAUAUCAAGAGGAACACCUGAGGUGAAGACGGGUUGCUGGGCUGACACUGACGCUGAGGCGCGAAAGCCAGGGGAGCAAACGGGA
rnacentral:rRNA from 1 species